GUGGGUGUAGCUCAGGGGUAGAGCACAUGCUUAGCAUGCAUGAGGUCCUGGGUCGAUCCCCGGUCCCUCCA
rnacentral:tRNA from 1 species